ACUGGGUCCUGUUUCUUCUAAUUCUUCUCAAGUAACUUUUAUUAACAAAAAACCCUACACAUUUCCUUUCCAAUAGUAUUUGUGCAUAGGGAGAACUUGGGAUUAUUUGAAAAUCAAGUAUAACUUUUUCCUGAAUGUAUUGCCUUCUACAGGGAGUUUUGCUCUUGGUGUGAAAUGAGCUGUUUGCCAGGAGACCUUUCCAAGGGAUCCCUGCACAUAUAAAAGGAUUAGGUCACUUCACUUAUUUGGUAUCAACCUAUAGAAUAUUAGGCCUGUGAGGAUGUGUUCAGAGGUAUUUAAAACACAUUUUCCUUCCAUUGAGGAAGUAUUUUAAUGGUUGGUGCAAAAAGUAGAGAAUCUCACAGUUAACCAGGGACAUGGGAGCUGAGGCUGUGAUAUUCAGACUUUUUGUAUCAUGAUGCUUCUCAGAGGUUUGGUUUCCUUGGUCAGCUCCAUGGUGAUUUUGUGGAGAGGUUCUUUUAAAGGCAAAGACAACUGUGAUUCAUUCACACAGAAAUGAUUGCCAUUAGACAAAAACCAGCCCUUGGUCAGACUUGUGUGUCCUGGCAUGUGGAUCAGACAGGUAAGCUGUGCAUGACAUACAUGACACUCAUUCUCAGGCAAACAGAGUUUCCCCACUGGGAGUGGGAUUAGUGGGAGCAUGUGGGAGUGGGGAGGAGUCUGUAAGUUGACAGCUAAUGAGAAAAUCCAAUGUUUGUCAUUCAGCUGUGUUUGUUUGAUUCCAUUCUGUGGUCACCUACCUCAAAACCCCCUCUGAGUGGCAUACCUGAACACCCUGGUAAAGGUUUAGCAACCCCCUUGCUGCGCUUCAUUUCUCUCUUGUUGAAAGAAAGCUCUGAAGGACAUAGAUCAGUAGAUUGCAUCAAGUCUUUCUGCACUGCAGAAUUACAGAUAUUUUCCAUUCUUAUUCUCAGUAGAGUAAAUGGGAACCAGGAGACUGUUUUUGAGCAUUAUGCCUGCCUGGUUUUGCUCAGAGUUUAUGGAUCAAAUUAGCAACAAGAAGCUGCAAAAAUGCUGUGAGGAAGAAAAAGAUGAGGAGAGCGGAGAGCAGUGCAGCAAUGAAGAGAAUAGGUUGUUCCAUGAGGUGCCUGUAGACCUUUUUUGAUAUAAAACCAUUAAAUAGGAAGGUAAUUUGAACUAUAAAGGUAUAUCUAAUGAAUGACAAUUAUGAAGAAGCCUCAGCAAAAUCCAUAAAUAUGUUCAGGAUUAUAUUCAUCUACUCAGGAUGCUUGUUUAGGGCAAAGAAGCCCCUCUGUUUCUUACUGCAGGUAUUGAACUCCCUAGAGAAAGAGAUGCAUGCUAUCAGAGAUACAUGCAAUAUUUAAAUCUAAAUGUCUGGAACUUUGGGGGUGUUUCUGCAACAUCACUCUCUUCCACAGAAUUUCUAGAACAGUUCUGCCACUUUCUUGUAUCCCCCCUCUCUAUGAGUUUUAGCAUGAAGCUUACUACUUGUGUUAAUCUACUAAAAACAUUAAUGAUUUUCAUAGACAUAUUCACAUAGUACUGACCUUUCUCACGUAUUAUGAUAGUGUUAAUUGCUGUUCUGUCUUACUUGAGAUUUGCAAAUAAAAGAAAUUAAAAACGUUGUUCAUGUGCAUUAAUGUUGUCUGAGAAGUUUGAGUUCCCUGCAGUUUGAGCAGACCUGAAUUUCUCAAGACAGUGCAAUGUAACAGGAGAUAUUCCAUUGCCAAGCAGCUUUCAGGAACAGUAAUCUCACACAUCUAAUAUGCAACAUGUUUUCUUAUUUAGUGAGGGACUCUUUUCAUUCUGACCUUGAUCAUUAAUGAAUUCUAUUAUUUGGGAAGGAGUGAUGGAAACAUGAAACUCAUACUUGUCAUCACCAAUUACCGCUUUUUUUCACUUUGUUAAACUGGUACAAUUUUCCUUUAAAAACACUGGCAGUGGCUCUGGAAGUCAUCCCUUUUGUCCUGGUAGGAGCUGGUGGAAAUCAAGGGACAUAUACCCUCCUUGAAUGAAUAGCUACACAUUUCUUUUUUUGUGAAAGAGCUCAUUUAGAUUGUUUUCAAACCUUCUAUUUGCUUAGUCUUGUGUGCUUACUGUAAAUACUAAGAAGUUUUGCUCUGUAGUUUGGCCUAUUAAAAUGUGGGAAUAUUAUUUUACAAUAACUGCUGCUAAACCCCUGUAUUGCUAAUUAUUUGUUGCUAAUUAUUUUUCUAGCACAAUACUGAUUGCCCUUUCCUAUAGCCAUUCCAUUUUCUGUUGCUUACACAUUCUUUCUCCCCUGUACAAAUAGAAGAUCAUGGACUCAUCCUUUUUUUCAUUCAUUGUUUCCUGCUUUCUUCCUUGUUCCACUUACCCCCAAGUAGCUUAAUUUGUACACAUGCUGGGCUGAUAUUGCUGCUACAGAGGUUUUUGUAUUUCCCAAUCAGAAUUUGGUACCUUCAGAUGAGCACCUUGCUGGUUUUAGACUUGCACUUUUAAGCAUCUCUCUGUGUAUUUUUGCACAGCCAAAAUCUUAUCUGCUGUUUUCUUUCCUUCUCAUCUUGCUGGAUUUUAUACAAAAUAUUGCAAAUACUUCUGCUUUCUAGCAGUGUUUCACUCUGAUACAAUUGGCCAUAAUAUUGAUCUAUGGAAGUCAGAAAUGCUAUUGGAAGUGUCCAAUGGUCGAAGUGUCCAAUGGUCUGUGAAUAAUAAGGAAAAAGUUGUAAAGCAUGAAACAAAUGUUAUAAAGCUGAAGUCUGCUAUUUAUCAUCUCAUUUAAGUCACAUUAUAAAGUUGAAUUUUCAGUUCUUCGUCUCAUUUUCUAUCGUGUUUCAAAUAAAAUAGAUACUUGAUUUUGAAAUUUUUCUUUAGGUUUUUGCUUUCACAUGAAUGGAUAAGUUUUUCAACUGUUACUAUUGCUUAGAAUGGGAAACCAGAAUGCAGCUUUUUUGCUGCAUUCUGCAUUGAUGAAGAGGUGUUUCAUUGUGGAGACUUUUGCAUCAAAAACAGAUGAAGGAAUCUGCCUGACAGAGCUUCUAUUUGAAAUGUGAAUCCUCUGCCUCUGCUUCAGUGCCAAAAGCUAAUUGCAGCAGUAUGUGCAAUACCUUGUGUGCCAGAAAGGCAGAUGAAGCUUUCUUCAAAGUAAUUCAGCUUGAAAAUCAGAGGUCACCUCACCUGAUCUUCAGGACUGGUUCUUUCAGAUUAAUGUAUCAUCUGUCAGGAGAUUACCAGAAAGCAUCGAGGUCUCCUUGCAUACCCAGGGAAGACACUUCCUUCCCUAUAAAUGUGGAAUAUAUAUAUUCUAUGUUUUGGGUCAGAAACAGAGUCAGGAGGGGGAGCCACCAAUACCUUGAUAUUUUUUACUGAUAAAAGCCAUAAACAAGAUGAGUUUGUAGGCUUUUAUUACUUUUUAGUCAAAGGUUAUUCUUUUUUCCCCAUAAGAUGUUAUUAAAAUCAUUACAUUAAAAGAAAUUUUCUGAAUAGUUGCCAUAAAUUCUGCACAGAAAGAUCCACAGGUAGCCAGAAGGUACAAAUGAGUGUUUAAGAAGAAAAACAAAGGGCAAAAUGUUAGCAAUAAAUCUUUUAAACUGUCAUACAAAGAAAAUGAAGCACAAUUUUAAGGUCAUGAUUUUUCUCCUACCUCAGAAUUGCAGCUGGAAAGCCUGUAGCAGCUGGUUAGUACCUACUGACUACUGACAUCUGUAACUGUGGAGGGCAGGAAUUGUGUGAUCUAGUGAAGUCAGCACAGUCUUGAAUUUCAAAAAGCCCUGAAUUUCAGUGCUCACGCUCUUAGAUUAUUUUGGGGCUUGGAGUGAUUUAUCCUCUUGUGAUAUUUUCUUGACAUAAAAGGAAUAAGACUUAAAGUUAGUAAAAUGCAUCUGGAGAUAAGAAUUAGAAGUACAGAUGAUACUUGUUCGGGGAAUUAAAGGCAGUUUUUUUGCAGUAGCUAUCAUUACAUCAAAGGAGGUAAAAAUAGGAGUGACCAACUUAAGCAACCAUGAAGAAAUGCCUUUAAGAAUUGCAGCUGCCAUUUCUCUCUGAAUGUCCGGCAUCUUUCCCUCUCCUGAAUAUGCUUGGAGUAAUGAUUGAGUUUGGAUUGAAGGUGUAAGGAGCUUUGCUGAAAGUCAGUCUUUGAGGAAAACCUGAAUAACCUCUCCCUGUAGCCUGAUACUGCCAUGCUCAGAAGUAUUUGCUGCAAUUCCCUUUUAUCAGUUCCUUACUAAGAUUAUUUACCUUCAUCUCUUCUUCCUUUUAAGAAAUAAUUUCCUAUGUAGCAUCACAUCACUGCUUUACUAAUUUCUUUGUAGAUUGCAACCCCUGCAAUUUUUUGUGUAACUUAAUUCUGUCCAAGCAAACUGUUGGGUUGUGUUAGCAGAGUCUCAUUUUGACAAACAUGGUUUUUUCAUGUAUUUAAUUUUCUGUGGACUUCUGUAUUGUAUUUCCUUCAAAGUAUUUUAAAGUCUGUACAUAGUUUUUGUGAAUCACUGUUAGCAUAAUUUUCUUUGCCUUCACCAUCUUUGUGUGAGAGAAAUACAAACUAUAUUAAGUGAGGCUUUGAUAUACUGAGAGAAGGAAUGAAAGAAAAAGUGGUAGCGUCAAAAUUAAAGCUGAAAAAAUUGAGGUAAAGUGGAUGUUUUUGGAGCAAUGGGGAUGAGAUCUUGCACCCUCCAGAGAUGUGAUGAGCUCUCCCAAUCUGUUCUUCAGGACUGAGUUUGCAUGUGAAAGAUGUUGUUGGUUUUUUUUACAUCAAAUGGCAUAUUUCCAUAUUUCUUCAAGGUUCUUGUUGUGCUGACUUGUGGUUUUAUGAAUUCUAAAUGCUGUCAUGUUUGUAUUGUAAAUAAGUGAACGUACUAGAAAUUAGGACUGUUCCUCAAAAUCACCAUUAAACCUUAGCUGAUUUUUUCUAGAAGCCCAGGUAACCUUGAGUUGUGUGUUCAUCCCUUUCACUAUUAAAAAACCCUGUAUUUUUGUAAGUUGGCUUGAUUUCAUAUUACUUGAGAGAAAAUUAUCUAGAGAUUUUAGAUGGUGGAUUUUUAAAAAUUUUUAUCCCCCAAAGAAAGGAAAAUCAUGAAGACUUUUAUGUAGAUGAGGAAGAAUAUCUAAAUGCCAGCUGGAGGUGUCCCAAACAGGUGCAGUCAAAAGGUAAUUGAUAAGCUUGGGAAUAUUUUGUAGGUAUGCUUGGGAAAUAUUUUUGAAGGGCAGUUCAGUGUGAAGGCAGAAUAAAAGAGCACAAGAAUUAGCUUGUAAAAGAAAGUAUUGUGGAGACAGGAACUGUCAAAUAAACAAACCAGCGCAUUAUGUAAUUUUUAUGCAUGCUCUGUUUUGGAGAAAUACUGCCUGGCAGCUGGGGCUCUUCUAUUCCCCCAGUGUUUGAUAAUAGAGAGGGAAAGUGGGCCACUGACUGUCAUUGCCAUCUCAAGCAUUAUGUUGUGAGUCCUUCACAGGCAAAAAAAUAAUGGAUACAAAUUGAGUGUACAAACCUGAACUUCCACCUGCACAGUAAAUGGCUGCAUGUUUGUGCUCCAGCCAAGACGCCCUUAUUUGCUGGGAGCAAGUGUUGUGCAGGAUUAACAUAGUAUUAGAGAAUGAGAAUCUUCUGGGCUGAAAAUCCAUGGUGUUAAGGGAUUUAACUAAAAAUAGGAUAUUAGAUAAGUUUCACAGGGAUGCUGCUGCAGUUGUAUUGAACAUUAUUAAACAGAAGAUAAUACUUUUGUCAUGUUCUGAGUAAUGAGUGCAGGCACUGCUUCACCCCAGCUCUCCCGAGAGUUGAAAUGAUGUGAACAGAACCUCAUCAGGCUGGGAUUGGCUUGGCCAGGUUUUCCUAGGGAGCUUUAAUAGAGCUCUGUGACUGCCCUGGAACUGCAGUGCACACACAGUGGCUUUGAAAAUGUUAGUAGGGAAUAAUCUGUUCAUAUCUGUGUGCUGAGGGGAAAUCCCUUUAUCAAUGUACUGUAGGGGUGGGAGUGUGCACACGUGUGAGUGACAGGGUGUUUUGGAGGUUGUUUAGAAACUCACAUUCAGGAAAGCUUCUAUGAUGAAUUUGAUGAGCAUUAACAUUUAAAAAACACCGUUGCAAUGAUUUCUAACUGAUUUUACAAUUUUUUUAUUAUAUUUUUUUACUUCCUGUGAUAAGUAGGCUCAACUGGCAGCUGCAGGUAAGGAUUAUCUAGUGUGUCCUUAUUUUAAUCUUUUUCAUUUGGUAAAUAGAUGCAGUCAUUUUCAUUGUUGCAGCUGCAGUUUUCAGAUACUGGUCCUGGGCCACAGAUAACUUGUGUUUGAUAGGUUUAAUCAAAACAAAGUGUGAAACCGUGACUUUCACAAUGUAGCAUUAGAAUUUAGAAUUUGGUAUUUGACAUGAAACUGCAUUGGACAAGGAAAGCUGUUCCCUUUUUUCCAUUGAAAAUAUAUUUGAUUGAGCAAAGAACUGAGAAUGUGGAAAUUCCAGUUGGUCAGCAGGGAGUUUCAAUGAUCAUACAGUGCUGCCAGGGCAAGUGAACAGGGCUAAGCUGUAUUUUGGAGAUGUGAUGGUUUAGGAGUAUAAAUAAAAAAUAAAACCUGCUUAGGCAAAGAU